UACGUAGGGGGCAAGCGUUGUCCGGAUUUAUUGGGCGUAAAGAGCGUGUAGGCGGCCAUGCAGGUCCGUUGUGAAAACUCGGGGCUCAACUCCGAGCUUGCAGUCGAUACGGGCAGGCUAGAGUUCGGCAGGGGAGACUGGAAUUCCUGGUGUAGCGGUGAAAUGCGCAGAUAUCAGGAGGAACACCGGUGGCGAAGGCGGGUCUCUGGGCCGAUACUGACACUGAGGAGCGAAAGCGUGGGGAGCGAACAGG
rnacentral:rRNA from 1 species